rnacentral:rRNA from 1 species
AUUGAACGCUGGCGGCAUGCUUUACACAUGCAAGUCGAACGGUAGAGGGGCAACCCUUGAGAGUGGCGAACGGGUGAGUAAUGCAUCGGAACGUGCCCAGUAGUGGGGGAUAGCCCGGCGAAAGCCGGAUUAAUACCGCAUACGACCUGAGGGUGAAAGCGGGGGAUCGCAAGACCUCGCGCUAUUGGAGCGGCCGAUGUCAGAUUAGGUAGUUGGUGGGGUAAAGGCCUACCAAGCCGACGAUCUGUAGCUGAUCUGAGAGGACGACCAGCCACACUGGGACUGAGACACGGCCCAGACUCCUACGGGAGGCAGCAGUGGGGAAUUUUGGACAAUGGGCGCAAGCCUGAUCCAGCCAUGCCGCGUGCGGGAAGAAGGCCUUCGGGUUGUAAACCGCUUUUGUCAGGGAAGAAAUCUUCUGGGCUAAUACCCCGGGAGGAUGACGGUACCUGAAGAAUAAGCACCGGCUAACUACGUGCCAGCAGCCGCCGUAACAC